rnacentral:rRNA from 1 species
GUGCACCAGGCGCGAAAACUUCACACUGUGCGAAAGCACGAUGAGGGAAUCCCAAGUGCUUGCACGUAAGUGUAAGCUGUUUCUCUGUCUAAAACGCAGAGAGAGUAAGGGCUGGGUAAGACGGGUGCCAGCCGCCGCGGUAAUACCUGCAGCUCAAGUGGUGACCGUUAUUAUUGGGGCCUAAAACGUCCGUAGCCGGUUUAAUAGAUGCCUGGGUAAAUUGUGUAGCUUAACUAUACGAAUUCCGGGUAGACUGUUAAACUUGAGACCGGGAGAAGUUAGAGGUACUCCUGGGGUAGAGGUGAAAUUCUGUAAUCCUAGGGGGACCACCAGUGGCGAAGGCGUCUAACUAGAACGGGUCUGACGGUGAGGGACGAAGCCCUGGGGCGCAAACGGGAUUAGAUA